CACAUGCAAGUCGAGCGAGAAAGGGGGCUUCGGCCCCUGAGUACAGCGGCGAACGGGUGCGUAAUACAUGAGCAAUCUACCCUUGAGGCGGGAAUAACCCAGCGAAAGUUGGGCUAAUACCGGAUAAGACCACAAGAGGAAACUCUAGAGGUCAAAGGCAGCUCUCUUUUGGGGGCGGCCCUUCGAGGAGGAGCUCAUGUCCUAUCAGCUAGUUGGUAGGGUAACGGCCUACCAAGGCGAAGACGGGUAGCUGGUCUUAGAGGAUGAUCAGCCACACGGGGACUGAGACACGGCCCCGACUCCUACGGGAGGCAGCAGUGGGGAAUAUUGGGCAAUGGGCGAAAGCCUGACCCAGCGACGCCGCGUGGGUGAUGAAGGCCUUCGGAUCGUAAAGCCCUGUCAGGAGGAAAGAACGAUCUUGUGGUGAAUACCCACGAGAUGUGACGGUACCUCCGAAGGAAGCACCGGCCAAUUCCGUGCCAGCAGCCGCGGUAAGACGGAAGGUGCAAGCGUUGCUCGGAAUCACUGGGCGUAAAGGGUGCGUAGGCGGCUUCUUAAGUCUGGUGUGAAAGCCCAGGGCUCAGCUCUGGAAGUGCACUAGAUACUGGGAAGCUUGAGUACCGGAGGGGAGAGUGGAAUUCCUGGUGUAGCGGUGAAAUGCGUAGAUAUCAGGAGGAAUACCGGUGGCGAAAGCGACUCUCUGGACGGUUACUGACGCUGAGGCACGAAAGCGUGGGGAGCAAACAGGAUUAGAUACCCUGGUAGUCCACGCCGUAAACGAUGGGCACUAGGUGUCGGGGGUAUCCACUCCCUCGGUGCCGCCGCUAACGCAUUAAGUGUCCCGCCUGGGAAGUACGGUCGCAAGAUUAAAACUCAAAGGAAUUGACGGGGGCCCGCACAAGCGGUGGAGCAUGUGGUUCAAUUCGAUGCUACG
rnacentral:rRNA from 1 species